GAAUCAGCUAUGAAGGAGAAAAGUAGGAUAAAUGCUAUUUACAGAGAGGAAAUGCCAUAGGCUGAGAGCGUUUCUAUAUACAGGUUUAUCCGAAGUUCACUCUAGAGCUAUAAGGCUGAAAUUUAGUAGGCUUUAUCGGAUGACAUCGUUAUAAUGUCCAAGAGAGGUUAGGUAUAUAUAUUUACCUUUUUCUAUAUUUUUUAUAGGUAUUAAAGGAGUAAAUAUAUUCAUAGCUUAUCAAAUAGGGUGGUACCGCGAUUAUAACCUUCGUCCCUAGU
rnacentral:ncRNA from 1 species